rnacentral:rRNA from 1 species
GACGAACCGUGCUAACGUUGUUCGGAAUCACUGGGCUUAAAGGGCGCGUAGGCGGGCCGGCAAGUCAGGGGUGAAAGCCCGCGGCUCAACCGCGGAAGCGCCUCUGAUACUGCCGGCCUCGAGGGGGGUAGGGGCGUGCGGAACUUCCGGUGGAGCGGUGAAAUGCGUAGAUAUCGGAAGGAACACCGGUGGCGAAAGCGGCGCGCUGGACCCCUUCUGACGCUGAGGCGCGAAAGCCAGGGGAGCAAACGGGG